rnacentral:rRNA from 1 species
UACGUAGGGGGCUAGCGUUGUCCGGAAUCAUUGGGCGUAAAGCGCGUGUAGGCGGUCCGGUAAGUCCGCUGUGAAAGUCGAGGGCUCAACCCUCGAAUGCCGGUGGAUACUGUCGGGCUUGAGUACGGGAGAGGCGAGUGGAAUUCCUGGUGUAGCGGUGAAAUGCGCAGAUAUCAGGAGGAACACCGAUUGCGAAGGCAGCUCGCUGGAACGUUACUGACGCUGAGGCACGAAAGCUAGGGGAGCAAACAGG